GGUUAAGCGACUAAGCGUACACGGUGGAUGCCCUGGCAGUCAGAGGCGAUGAAGGACGUGCUAAUCUGCGAUAAGCGUCGGUGAGGUGAUAUGAACCGUUAUAACCGGCGAUUUCCGAAUGGGGAAACCCAGUGUGUUUCGACACACUAUCAUUAACUGAAUCCAUAGGUUAAUGAGGCGAACCGGGGGAACUGAAACAUCUAAGUACCCCGAGGAAAAGAAAUCAACCGAGAUUCCCCCAGUAGCGGCGAGCGAACGGGGAGGAGCCCAGAGCCUGAAUCAGUGUGUGUGUUAGUGGAAGCGUCUGGAAAGGCGCGCGAUACAGGGUGACAGCCCCGUACACAAAAAUGCACAUA
rnacentral:rRNA from 1 species